GAAUUUUAUAAAUAAUUGAAUUAAUUAUUAAUUUUUGAGUUUUUUAAUAAAUUAUAUUUUAUUGGGAGGAUUAUUAAAUUUUAAUAACUUUAUUUUAAAUUAAAUUUAAAAUUAUAUUAUAUAUAUAGAUUUAUGAGUGAUUUAAAUUAAUUUUAAAUAUAAAAGAAUUAAUUACCUUAGGGAUAACAGCGUAAAAUUUUUAGAGAGAUCAUAUUAAUAAAAAUAAUUGC
rnacentral:rRNA from 1 species